rnacentral:rRNA from 1 species
GACAGAGGGUGCAAACGUUGUUCGGAAUUACUGGGCGUAAAGCGCACGUAGGCGGAUCGUUAAGUCGAGGGUGAAAUCCUGGAGCUCAACUCCAGAACUGCCUUCGAUACUGGCGAUCUAGAGUCCGGAAGAGGUGAGUGGAACUCCUAGUGUAGAGGUGGAAUUCGUAGAUAUUAGGAAGAACACCAGUGGCGAAGGCGACUCACUGGUCCGGUACUGACGCUGAGGUGCGGAAGCGUGGGGAGCAAACAGG